GCACUGCUGAGGAGUCCCAAAAUAGGACGAAACAGCCGUCUAGUGC
rnacentral:hammerhead_ribozyme from 1 species